rnacentral:snRNA from 1 species
UUUCUAUGCAAAUAAUAAAUGU